rnacentral:lncRNA from 1 species
GGUUUGAUCCCCAGCCCAAGAAUUUCUAGUUGCUGUGCGCAAAGGACCCCUGUGGAAAAAAAAAAAAAAAGAAAGGAAAAGAAAAAUCUUAGGGCAUAUAUGCUUUUUGUUUGGUAAGUACAUAAAUAUUUUGCUUAAUAUUGUGUUAUGUUUCAUUAGCUGAAAACUAGCUUUAUGAGUGUUUCACUGUACCCUACCACUGUUUAAAACACAGCCACUUUCCCAUGCUGAAAGGUUCUGUCUCUUCAGAUGGAUGAAUUUCUCCUGUGACCUCCUUAAAUACUUUUUCAUACCAUGUUGUUACCCCAGUUUUCUGGGCUAUAGAAAAGGAAUAAUAAGAACUGGCUACUUAUUUUGUAGUUAUAAGAAUUCAACAAGUUAAAACUUGAAAAGUUAUGAAAACUGUUUGGCUCAUCGUAUGUGUUUAUAAAUGAGCAUUAUAUUAGUUUUUAUCAACUUUGUGCAUUUUUUAUAUAGAUGUUAUUUUUUUAUCAUGUUGCUGACAUUCAUGAUAUGUGGGUAGACAUACACAUAUUAAAUAUUUGUUAUUGUCUCAUGGAUUCUUGUUUCUAAGAUGAAUGACUUUCUGAAUCUACCCAUCAUAGAAUAUAAUCUUCCCCAGACAUUUAUGUAAUGUUCAAUCUUGAGAGGAGAGAAGAGGUUGCAUUUACUCUUACUCAAGCCUCUUAAUCUCUGAAGACCAAAUUUCAUAAUUUAUUUCUGAAAAUUCUAAUUACCCUUUCUCUUAUCUGCUUGGUUCUGAUCCCGUAAAUAACAGGGUUGAGAGCAGGUGGGAUGCCAACGUAGAUGUUGGCAAGGAGAAUGUGGAUGUAUUGAGGAAUGUUUCGGCCGAAACGGUGGGUCGUGAAGGAGAAAAAUGCCGGGGUGUAGAAAGCCAACAUGACACAGACGUGAGAGCCACAUGUACUGAGUGCCUUUAGCCGGGCAUCCCUGGAUGGUAGGCAAUAGACAGCACGGAGGAUCUGGACAUAGGAGGUGACGAUGGCUAUGAUGUCAAACACCAAAUUAGAGAUGGCACAUAAGCCAUAGACGAUGCUGGCCCUGAUGCUGGCACAGGACAGACGGGCGAUGCCCACAUGUUCCCACUAAGUGUGAGCGAUAAUUCGGAGUCCACAGAAGGGUAACCUUAGGAUGAGUAGAACAAAGGGGAUUGCAGAGGACAAAGGUCUGAGGAGGACGGUCAAUGCCAUGGCUGAUAGCACCUUGUCUGUCAGCAUCCGUGUGUAGCAAAGAGGCUUAUAGAUGGCCACGUAGUGAUCAUAGGCCAUGGCCACGAGCACAGCCGACUCCAUGCCAGUGCAGAGGGGGAUUCAGACCAUCUGGGUGAGGCAGCCCUCAAAGGAUCUUUCUCUCAGAUUGAACCAGAAUAUGCCAAGCUUCUUGGGGAUGGUGGAUGUGGACAGGCCCAGGUCCAUAGACGACAGAAUGGCCAGGAAGGAAACACGGGCUCAUGGAGGUUACGUUCUGCCUGAAUCACAGAAAGGAUUGCGACAUUUCCCAUAAGAGAGUCACAUACACAACACACAAUGGAAUAGCAACCCACAGGUGCACAGCUUCUAGCCCUGGAAUUCCCAACAGGAGAAAAAAGUAGGGCUGGAACUGUGUCCCAUUAGAAGGGGACAGGCUUCUGUGGCACUUCUACAGCCAUACAUGUCAUAGACCAGGUGCUUCAUUCCCUGAGAGGCUGAAGCUCUUCUUGUCCAGUUUUAUUGAUUUCCUACAGGAUUAUACAAAAAUAUGUAUAAAAUAUGUAUAAUCUUUUCUUAUCACCAAUCCCAUCAUGACGUAACUAUGUGACUUUUAUAAAAACUGAAGUACAUGCCAUUCUUGUUUAAUUUCCAUCAAGCUAAUUAGACUCAUUCUACUUGUUUCCAUUUGUUCAUUUCAUAUAAUUAAAUCAAACUUUUAUCAAGGAUCUAAUGGUUGCCUGAUUAUCAGGCAAAUAGUCAGAUAAUGGGUUUGUAGAGAUAAAAUGCUUUACUGCUCUUAAGGAAAUUCCAUUAUAGCUUAAGAUUUAAAAUAAGAAUAAAAUGUCUGUUUUUUUCUGGAUUUUAACAGGUACGUUUUUCUUUAUAUCUUAGGGAUCCACCAUCUCAUAGUCAAUUGCCAUGUCCUGUGAUGGUAGAAUUUGCCCAAAACCCUUUUAAGACUACUAAACCCAGUGGAGAAAGCCACUCAAUCAAUUCCUGGACCUCUUUCAUCAGAAACAUAAUUACAAUUAGGGUUAGACUGUGUUAAAUGCAGGAAAUCCAGACUCAUGGUGGAUGCGGUUGAUAUAGUUGAAGUUUACAAUUGACUGUUGGAAAUUGCAGAAGAGGGAACACUGACAUUCUAAGAGUCUGGCUCAUGGUAGCAUGCUGCUUCCUAAAUACUUAAAUUUAUUCAAAAGGACACGUAAGAAAUAGUCCAGAAAAUGUAACAGUAGGACAUAUGAAAUCCACUUGGAGAAAGAGUCAAGGUGAUAGAAUUAUGUGUACAGGAGAGGGAAGGUCCGGAUAGUGAAGACUCGUGGUUGGGAAGAGCAAACACACUUUUCUGGGUUACACGGAAAUCCGAUUUCCGUGUUCUUCAGCCUUUCCCUCCUCUUUCAUACCCAUAUUUUACCUCAUUUCUCUGUCAGAUUGUGACCAUCCUUCAAAAAUACCUGUCACAUUUCAUUGGCCCACAGCACUAUCCUUCUUGUCACAUUUUCUAGCAGAUACUGUCUUAGCACUGGGCUUGGAAAUUGAGAAGAGGAGACUUCGAGGAGGUAUUGUCCCCUCAUGCUUGGCUGCAUGCUGCCAGGCAGUUAUUUGUGCAAUUGAGCUGCUCCUUAAAGCUCUCACACGUUCAUGAAGUCGGGACAUGAACCAGAGGUCUCCACGUGGUUCCUAUAAAGACACUCUGAGAGGUUUCACAGCAGUGGAGUCAAGCCUUUAAAAAAAAAUUAUGUGACAAUAUCUUUGAAACUCUAAGUGUUCUUUUUUUAUAUAGUAAUUUUUAUUUUUUUUUCCAUUAUAGCUGGUUUACAGUGUUCUGUCAAUUUUCUACUGUACCGCAUGGUGACCCAGUGACACAUACAUGUACACAUUCUUUUUUCUCACAUUAUCAUGCUCCAUCAUAAGUGAUUAAAGGGGUCUUGAUACGGUAUUUUUUACUACCGUGUUACGCAAAGCCAUGAAUUGUGAAAUAUUUGUCUUGAGAGCUGAAUGGAGGACAGAAGGGUACACAGAGUUAACUUCUGUAAGAUACAGAAUGGUUACAGGUAAGAAAAGGCAAGAGAGUCAAGAUUGAAAAUUAAGAUACCAAACGGGCAAAGGGAAAAGUGAGGCAAAUGAUAAAUAAACACUCAGAGAAAGACAAUUCAGAAAGUUAUAAAGGUAUUUGCAUAUGCAUACGCACACAUCACUUAUCCACAUAUGUUAAAAUGAGACUUAAAGUCUUUGUUGGAGCACUUGCCUCAAUUUAUGUAAAUUAUCAUCUUGUUACAGUCUGGGCUCACGGAUACCUUCCCUAGUCAGUUCGCUUUUUUUUGUUUGUUUUACAUUGCUGUCAUUAUUUUAUCACUUCAACCUAAAUCUCAGUAACAUAGCCGCGUGAAAAUGUUUUCUGCCUUCGUGGAUCCUUUCUGGCCCCACAGCCAGACUCAGCAGCGUUCGGAGGUAACGAGCUCAGCUGCCCCAGGACGUUUCCACUGCAGGCCCUCCGACUACAGUGGGAGGUUUACACGGUGAACUCGGUCCUUAAAAGGAAGAGUCUCCACACAGCGGUGCCCUCUGGAGAACAGAGGUGUCCCGAGGCGCCGAACCAUAUGCAUCAUCAGUGUGAGGCAAACCAUCACUGGUGGUUUCUUUUCUGAAAGUCCCGAGUCCGGAUGCUGAGUCCCAGGCUUGGGGCAACUACGGACGCCUGAGCUCUCGGGAGGGGAGGCUGUGAGGAGGGCUCACCUUCCACUCUGUCUCCUCAAGAUUCCUCUAGUUCUAGAUACGCUUUCUUGGGCUCCUCGUACGAGUCCAGGUCACAGAGACUCAGAAGUGAUUUGAUAGAAGGGUUUGGCACGUCAUUCUGGCUUCAUGUAACUUUCUUUUUUUGUGCCAUAUUUUUUACCUUGCUUUUGGUCUGGUCAGUUUUUCUAAAACUGAUCUGUCUCUCACAUCCGAGUCCUAAACACAAUUCAACCUUAAAUUCUAUUUUGAAAAAACUGAAGCCCAACUAGGAUCCAUCACUCCAUAGAAUGGAAUGUUUGCUAGAAGUUAGCUGGGGGAGAUGAUAUAAAGAAACAAUGACCAGUUGUUUUGAACACAAAUCCUCUUUUUUUAUUAUUCUUAUUAACAUUAAAAUAAGAUAGGGUUAAAUUUAAUUAUAAAAAUCCAGAGGUCUAAGGGAAAGAAAUACGAGAUAUAGGAAAUUGACUAAAUGGAUGGAAUUCGAGUCAGAUUGUAUGGAUUUGAAGCAUCUCUCCAACAUAACGGACAUUUGAGUUUGGGCAAGAAAUUUAAACUCUGUGUCUCCAACUUUUCCUCUAUAAUGAGCAGAAUAAUAACCAGUACAAAGUAUUCUUGUGAUUUUUUUUUCUUUUUCUUCUUUUAAUUUUUUUUUGUUUUAUUUAUUUUUUAAUUUUGUUGUUAUGGAGAUUUAAAAAGCUAAUUCUUGUAUAGCUCCUAAAACAUUUCCUGCUAUGUCAUAAGAAAUUUGUAACUGUGUGCUGAUAACAAUCUGAGCUCCUUAGCUAAUGCUUAACCCUCUAAGGCUGCGAUGGUCUGUGGAAGCUCAUAUUGAUUAGAGUUGCCAUGAAGACAUCUCCUGGAAGUUUUCCUGGAGUUAAUGGGGUGUUGAUAAAUGACACCAUCUUCCUCACCUAAAUUUAUUGCCACAGUGAACAACACACGAAUCAAACAAAUGGCUUCUAGAAGAACAUCAGCAUUCAUACUGAGUAAAACCUGUGUGUUGUUUCUUGGCUUAGUUAUGCAUCGAAACAGGUAAAAUCGCCUUUCUAACAAGUUUUGCCUCAAAGCUUCAGGUUGUUGGUUGCAGGAGCAGAGACUUCUUAGGCAAUUUCUUGAAAUUUUGCUGUGUGACUCUGGAAUCUGCAAUAUCAGCGCUAUUACCGUACGACAGGUAAAUAAAUCUGUGUGUUUCUAGGUUCUCUAUUCAGUACAUUCAUCUUUUUUAUUUAUUCCUUCAUCAAUUCUCUUCUCUCGUAACUUCAGCAGCAUAUUAAAAUUAUUUCUAUCUCAUGAAUCGUGCAUUCUGUUUCUCUCUCCUUUAUUUUUUAAAUAAAGCUUUAAAAAGUUUAAAAAAUAGACCACCUGUAGACUUAAGAAAAAUACAAAUGUAGUAAAGAGAGUUCUCCUAUGGCUCAUGCAUAAUUUCCCCCAUCGUUGUGCAGUAGUGUGGUCAUUUGUUACAGGUCAUAAAUCAAUGUUAACAUUCCUCUCUUAUUGCAGUUCAUCUGUUAUUCCGAUCCCCUUAGUUGACCCGAUGUUCAUUUUCUGCCAUAGGAUCCCAUCUGGGAUACCAAAUGACAUUCACUGAUUAUGUGCAGUUAGAUCUCUUCUCUUGGCUAUGACAGUUUCUCAGACUUUUCUUGGUUUUGAUGACUUGGUAGGGUUUUAGGAGUCCUGGUCAGGUUUUUUAAAGAUGUUUGUUGAAUGAAAUCAGUCAGGUUAUUUUUCCGAUGAUUAGACUGAGUUAUGUGUUUGGGGAGGAAGCUCCGUGAGGUAAAAUACCACUUAUAUUGAAACAGUCAAAGGUACCUGCUGUCCAAAUGGCUCUAUUAGCUGGCUGAGAGAGUGUUGUCAGGAUCCUCCGUCUUCCCCAUUUCCAGGUUUACUCUCUGGAAGUACGCUGUGAUGUUCAGCCCCCAAGUUAAACUGUUAGAUGUCAUGCUCACUCCCUUAAGGGUGGAGCAUCCUCAUAAAUUGUUUGGGAUUUUUUUGCAGGAGCGAUAUAUCUACCUCCCGCAUUUGCUUAUGAAUCCAGUUGUUUAUUUAUGUCAGUAUAGACUCAUAAGCAUUUAUUUUACACUCUAGAUUAUAAUCCAGUAUUACUUUAUUUUGUCACCUUCUCCAGCCUUGGCUAUUGGGAGCUCUUUCGUUGGCUCCUAUGUCCCUUUGACAGACCUUUGUAAUUGGAUGUUUUUAUUUUGGAUGGCGGGUAGCUUCCUUACUUUCUAGUACUACAAGGCGAAUCCUGCAUAUGACGUGCCCCAGGCUUGGAAUGUGCUAUUUCUAAGAGUCAUUGGUUUCUUUAAUUGGAUCAUGGAAUUAGAAACAAAGUUCUCGGUGCUGAGUGAGAUUUUCUCUUGGGGUGUCAUUGCUUUAAGGCCAUCUCCGCUUUCAGAGCAAAGGAAUACAUGUGUGCAUACUAACCUGUGUAUGUUAUAUGUAUAUAACCUACCAAUCAAUCAUCUGUUUAAAGACAUCAUUGCGAGGUCUCUGACUCUAAUCCAUUAGCAAUGACUUGUUCUUGUACCCUCUUAUGCUUAUCUGUAAAAUACCAUCCAACAAUGAGAAACCUGGCCCCCCACCCUUUGCCAUCCAUCUAAAUAAUUGCUUAAUAGCAGUAUGCAAAUAAAUGUAGCUGUAUUGAAUUGUUAACCUAUAUGGGGGGAAAACGUAUCUGCUAGAGUACAGUGCUUAUGUGUAUAGUUAUUUUUGCCUUUAUUCUCACAGCCUCUACUCAUACCCAGAGUUACAUAGCUUGAUACAUUUUCCCCUGCCAACUUGAGUGAAGUGUUUUCCAUUUCUUGUACAUUAUAUUUGUCAGGUUUUGAAUUUUAUCCUGGGAUCUCCUGAACUCACAUACAUUUAAGUCACCUUUGGUGUUGUAAAAUUGUAUGGGCUUUGUCAAAUGUGUAGUAUCAUACAUCUACCACCGCAGUAUCAUAUAGGAUAAUUCCUUAACUUAAAACGUCCAUGUUCUUCAAAUAGUCAGCUUCUUCACUCUUCCUCCCCUGGCAGCCAUGGAUGGUUGACUUCUCUAUAGUUUUUUUAAAUUGCUUUUUAAUUAUUUUUAUUGCUUUUUUAUUACUCAAAUGAAUUUAUCACAUCUGUAGUUGUAGAAUGAUCAUAUACAGGAUGUUGUUUCUCUAGAGUCACGCAAUAGCAAACUUUCUCAGAUUAGCUUCUUUCACUUAGGGAUAUGCGUUUAAAAUAAUCUGUCUCUUUAUGACUUGAUAUCUCAAUUUGUAUUAAUACUCGAUAAUAUCAGUUGUAAUUGUGUACAGUGGAUGCACCAAAGUUUGGAUAUUCAUUUAUGUAUUAAAAGGUAUCUCGACUGCUUCUAAUUCUUGGCAAUUAGGAGUAAGGUUGGUAUAAAUAUCUAUGUGUAGGGUUUUUUUGGACAUAGUUUUCAAACCAUUUGGGUAAAUUUCUUGGCAUAUAAUUGAAGGAUCAUAUGGCCAAACUAUGUUUACCUUGUAAGAAAGUUCCAAACUUUUUUUCAAGAACUGUGAUAUUUUUCUCAUUCCCACCAAAAAUGAAAGCGCCCAUUGAUAGAUGAAUGGAUAAAGAAGAUGCAGUGUAUGUAUACAAAGGAAUGCUAUUUGGUCAUUAAAAAGGUAAAAUUUUGCCAUUUGUGAUAACAGGGAUGUACCUUGAGGGUAUUAUGUUCAGUGAAAUAAGCAGGUGGAGAAAGACAAUUGCCAUGUGAUUUCACUUAUAUGUAAAAUAUUAAAAAAAAAACUAAUAAAAUAAAAUAAAUGAAAAAAAAAAAA